rnacentral:rRNA from 1 species
UACGUAGGGACCAAGCGUUGUUCGGAUUUACUGGGCGUAAAGGGCGCGUAGGCGGCAAUUCAAGUCAGCUGUGAAAUCUCCGGGCUUAACUCGGAACGGUCAGCUGAUACUGUUUUGCUAGAGUGCAGAAGGGGCAAUCGGAAUUCUUGGUGUAGCGGUGAAAUGCGUAGAUAUCAAGAGGAACACCUGAGGUGAAGACGGGUUGCUGGGCUGACACUGACGCUGAGGCACGAAAGCGUGGGGAGCAAACAGG